GGGGAAAAUAAAAUAAAAGUGAGUCUGUCACAGCUGGGGCUGGAAUCCCCCCUCUUUGGGAAUACUGCACAGAUCCCACCCCUUUUUAAAUUUCAACCUCCAAGGACCAGGUGUCCUGAUAUGGAUAAAUCUGGAUCAUUUGAGGGCUGGAUAAAGCAGAGACUCCUGUCCCAUCCAGACUCGAUGAAUCACUGGGCCAUGCUGUCCCUGGUGGAAGUGCAGCAGAUGGAGGAGCAGGCACCAGGGAUCCCCCAGGAAGCUCCUCAGGGUGGGGAUGAGAACUGGGCUGGAACACAAAUCAUGGAGAGGCUCUGCAGGACCCCUGGGCACAGAAUCUCUGCUGGGGCUUUCUCCUUGGUUCUCUUCCAGAGAAGUACCCCAAGACAAGGCUGUGCUUCCAAACUGGGUAAGUCUGGCUGGAUUUAAACAUAAUAAAAACCAAGUGAAGAUUUAGGAGAAAAGAUUCACCCCUCAAUGCUCCCCUGCCUCACUUCUCCUCUUCAUGGCAAGAUGGUCGUGCCAGAAGAAAA